rnacentral:rRNA from 1 species
GACGAACGCUGGCGGCGUGCUUAACACAUGCAAGUCGAACGGUGAAGCUCCAGCUUGCUGGAGUGGAUCAGUGGCGAACGGGUGAGUAACACGUGAGCAACCUGCCCCUGACUCUGGAAUAAGCGCUGGAAACGGCGUCUAAUACUGGAUACGAGAAGGGUCCGCAUGGGCACUUUCUGGAAAGUUUUUCGGUUGGGGAUGGGCUCGCGGCCUAUCAGCUUGUUGGUGAGGUAAUGGCUCACCAAGGCGACGACGGGUAGCCGGCCUGUGAGGGCAACCGGCCACACUGGCACUGAGACACGGACCAGAAUCCUACGGGAGGCAGCAGUGGGGAAUAUUGCACAGUGGGCGAAAGCCUGAUGCAGCGACGCCGCGUGGGGGAUGACGGCCUUCGGGUUGUAAACAUCUUUCAGCAGGGAAGAAGCGAAAGUGACGGUACCUGAAGAAGAAGCACCGGCUAACUACGUG